rnacentral:lncRNA from 1 species
CCUGGAUCCAUCAAUCACAUGAAGUAAAAUCCUUCUCUCUGGGGGGAGAAGACAAUUUUGAUGGCAAUUAUAAGAGUUCUGAAAAGGCAUGCAAAUGUUUGGAUGGCGACUGGACAACGUCGCAGCUGUGCGGAGGACCGAUGUCCUAACAGGAUCAGAGGUUGUCGGCUUCUGGGCCAGAGAGGGUUCCCAGAAUCAGGAGCCAAGUUCUGGCAUCAAUGAAGAUGACUCUGACGUCUGUCUUUCUGGUUCUUUUAUACUCCUACAUGCCUAGUUUUCAUGUAUGCAUUUGAAAACAUCACCCAAAAAGGUUUGGGGGGUUUGCUUGUUUCUUUCUUUUUAUAUUUUAAAGAUUUAUUUGAUUUAUA